GGGAGCUAUCGGGAUAUAACGACAGCGGAGGAAGAGCAUCAGACAUUUAAAAAACCCAUCAUGCGUCUAUUACUGCUUGCUGCUUUUCUGUUUUUCAUGGUGAUCCAAUUUGGUGACGCCACCCAUAGUCCGUAUAUAAUCCAACCACCACAGCGUCCCCAGCCAAAGAAAACGAACAAAAAAGACUAAUGACGCAAAAUGGGGUGGUUUUCGACCAUUUGACCGGAACGGACAACAAAGAAUCAAAAACAAUGUAGAAUAUAUUUAAAAUCUUUAGUUUGACGAGAUGUUUUUUCUUCAUUUUUUUAAAAUCUAAAAACAUGUUCCUAUUCCUACAAAUCUAGUUAGAUCUAUGGACAUCGAGCUUAGAUAACUGGCCUAGAGAUGGCCAGUAGGCUAUGCACCGUUAAAAGUCGGGCCCUGGGAGCCCUCCGCACACUUGGUAGCUCACCACUCUUCGACUGAUAACGCUGGCAUUCAAGGAACAAGACGUCCACCAUGAUGGUGACCGCUAGGUGCCAGCCCCACGACAUGUCCCCGGACACAGGGAGUCCCAUGUUACACAUUGCUCGUUUAUAUUUUGUUGAGUAGAUUAGCUUCAUUUAAAAAGUGAAACAGCUUUGUAAGUAUAUCUUCAUCAUCCCCUAAAACUUCAGGUAGUGUGUUUGGUAAAGCGUACUUAUUUCUGAUACUGUUGGCGACAUGAUAUAAGCAUAUGUUUUAUAAUCACAGUCUCAUUCAAAAAUGACAGAUCGCUGGCGGCUGACGAGCCAUCAAGUAACCCUUGGUAAAAAAAAUUGGGUUUUUAUAACGUUAUUAUUGUAAGUGGUUUUUUUUGCCACAAAAUCAAAUUUUUAUUUUCUCGCCUUGAUCAGCUUCCUUUUCUUGUAAGGAGGUUAUGUAACAACCUAUGUGAACUUCGCGGCACCGAGGCUGGCGCCCCCAGGAUGGGCCUCGUGGAGGCGUCCGGAACUGGGGGAAGACCAUCGUAGUGGCAACCUGAUUAAUGCAUACUUAAUCUUACUUUUCGGCUUACACAUCGGGGCACGGGCCUAAAUUAGGCCGACCAACCUUUCUGUCUCAUAAUGGCCUUCCACAGCCUCUGCGUGGCCUUGUACCCGGCCGGGCUGGAUAUGGCAUGACGCACGGUGUCCAUGGAAGCUUCAUCGACGUCGGCUUCAUACAUCCAUCGGGUGCGGAGGACAGUGUACAUUUCGCACACAAGGGCUACGUGCUCGACCGUCUCCGGCAUUCCACACUCACACAAUGGGCUAUCCUUCAGUCCGAAGCCGUGCAGCUUCGCCGAGAAGUCCCCGUGCCCCGUCAGCAAUUGGGACAUGUAGUGGUCAGCCGUCAGGUGGGCCAUGGCCAAGCGGUUCUCUAUGCUCCUCAGUAGCAGAUAAGUGUGCCUCCCUUUGGGCGACGUAUCCCAUCUUUGUUGCCAUUCAUCGUUCAGUCAGGAGUCGACCUCUUCUUUUGUCUGCACGGGGACACAGGGCUGGUACUAGUUGGCGAGCUCCCAUGCAGCACACACAGCCUUUGCCUUCAGGUCCAGGGGGGAUGCCCGGCUAUUACUGACAAGGCAUCUGUCGAUGUCGUCCGGUAGGCCUGUGUGAUCGCUAAUAAGGCCGGCCGCCCUUUGUGCACUGGAAGUUUCGCCCAAUCGGCUUCUCGUAGCACUCUUGUCCACACAGGGGCAGCAUAGAGCAGGACAGACUGGCACAAUGCGGAAUAAUAUGUUUGCAUAGUUUUCCAGCAGAUGCCCCACGCAGCACCACUCAGGGCUCUAAUGGCCGCGAUUCGGGCCGGCAUCUUUUCUUUUGUAUAGUUGGCGUUUACGUUGAAUCGCAGUCCUGCAGUCAUUUUUACGCCUAAAUACAUCAAGGUUUGAGGGGCUUUAAUUGUUAUGCCGUUUAUUCUGAUGGUCGGUGGGGACCGCAUAUUAAGCGAGCCUUUUAAGAGCAUCAGUUCCGUUUUUUCUGGGGCCAAUUGUAGUCGAACCCUCCUACACCAGCUACUCAGGACGGUUACUGCGGUCUCUCCCUGGGCCUCGAGGGCCGCUUUGGUGUCCGCCUGGACCACUACAACGAGAUCGUCCACGUAAGCAGUGAGUCCCGCGUUCUCCAGCUCUAUGAGGGCUCCAUCAAAUCAAUUUAUCGAACCGUAGGUCUCGCACUUCCGUACCUACACAGUACACAUAAACUUUUUUUUUCAAUCUCGAACUCGGAGCCCACUAUCCUCGAACCCAGUGCCCACCGGGUCACGAUCUUCCAGGCCGCGAAAUGCGUCCUGCUUCUCGCCUCGGUACGAGCCGUCACUGUUUUAAAUUGUAUUAAUUUUUUUUCUCAAGAAAAGGAAUGUAAUACUGGUUGUCCAUAAUUUUCCGAUUUGAUAAACCGCGCUUAGUCUCCCUUGGCAGCCACAAUCAGCGAACGUAAAACAAUACUCGGCAAGUACUAAAGUCAUUAGAACUACGCUGAAGAAAUACUUGUAAUUGUAGAUUUCAGCACCGUUGUUGAUCGGAGCCUGAAUAGCAAUCGUCCAGAGCACCAAUGCAGUGGGGAAAAUUCCACAGUCCAUCAUACUUCUGAGCAACACUUUUCUGCUCGUCCUCCGUGGCUGGAAGUUGAAAGCAUGAGAAUAUAUUACUACUGUUGGCAUUGAGAACAAAUGACGGAAAUAUGUAUAUUGAAGGUAAAAAUAGGCUGGCUUGUCUGAGCAUCGCUGGGGCAAUGAGAAAAACGGCUGCCCUGGAAGUUCUGAAUCUACCACAACCACACUUCUUUAUCCAAGGACAAGCUCCAACAGCCAAUCACAUACGGAGGAACGAAAGCUAAGAGGGGAGCUUCAGCUAGACAGAUUGGGGAUGCCUGUGUUGCCAUGACUCCUAAAUUCAGUUUUGGCAAAAGUAUUUCUAAUACCUUGUAGAGCAGACUGGUAGAAUGGAUCCCAGUUAAUGCGGACCGUAUCUGGUAUACGGUCCCAAAACCGAAUAUGGGUCAGGAGCUCCAGCUUUCCAUUUAUGGAAAUAAACCAAUGACUAGAAUUCAAAUAAGCCUUGGACAAUAUGCCACCGUCUUCGGAAACUGUUCAACAAAACAUGUUAACCAAUUAUAUGAUUUUUUCAAAACAUUCUCUUAACCUUGAUAAAUACGAAUUAUACAUAAUUUAUCCGGCUAUUAUAUGAAACCCAGGAAAAAAAAAUCCAUCGUUAUUGCCUGUUAACAAAAUGAACAUUUCUGUGUUGAGUUGACGUCACAAACUGAGAACCCUCCGUUGAUUCAUUUUUGUCCACUCAAUGAUUCUAGCAUUUUGAAGACGUCUUCGUAAGAAUUUGGUGAACUAUUUUUAGAAGCUUGAAACCAUUUUGAAUAAUUUUGAAGUUACUCCAAGAUCCAAGUAAAUAGUAAAUAUAAAUAAUUUUUAGAUUCUUAGUUCAGAUCUAAAACAAUUGAGAUCUAGCUGUAUUGUCUGUUAACCCAAUGACCUCCCAUUUACUGACGUCACAAACUGGGAACCCUCUGUUGAAUAUUCUGAUGACGUCACGAUAUCAUACAAUGGUGAACUGUCUGGAAAUGACACAUGAACCACAAAUGAAUUUAUUAACAAAACAACUUAAUAAGUUACAGUCAAGGUUGUAAUUAUUUUACAUAUAAAAUUCUUUUCUAAAUUUUAUUACCAUAGUCAAAUUUGAAAUUUUCAUGCCCACCUCGUCCAAGUCGUUUAAUUUUUUAUCCAUGCCGAAUCGGAUUAUCCCCCUUGGACGCGCGUGGGGGGGUAUCGGGAUAUAAUGACAGCGGAGGAAGUACAUGAGACAAAUUAAGACACCAUGCUUAAGCGUCUAUUGCUGCUAGUCUUUCUGAUCUUCAUUACAAGACAUGGGGCGAAGACGUCGACGUCCGCCGCCUUGGUGCGGCAGAGACCGGAAAGCGGGCCGUUGAAGCCCAUAGCAAGACAUCAGGCGAAGACGACGAUGUCCGCCAUCACCGUGGUGCCUCAGAAGCCGGAAAGCGGGAAGUCCAAGCAAGUAGCGGUACAAGGUUGUGAGACGGCGACGUCCGCCACCAAAGUGGUGCGGAAGAAACUGGAAAGCGGGCCGUUGAAGCCAAUAGCGAGACAUGGGGCGAAGAUGGCUACGUCCACCACCACCGUGGUGCAGCAGAGGCGGCUCUGUAGCGAGACAGGGAGCGAAGGUUCAUCAGACUGGGAAAAUAAUACAUUGUAGAAUAGAUUUAAAAUCUUUAGUCUGACGACAUGUAUA